UACGUAGGACGCAAGCGUUAUCCGGAAUUAUUGGGCGUAAAGAGCUCGUAGGCGGUUUGUCGCGUCUGCCGUGAAAGUCCGGGGCUCAACUCCGGAUCUGCGGUGGGUACGGGCAGACUAGAGUGAUGUAGGGGAGACUGGAAUUCCUGGUGUAGCGGUGAAAUGCGCGGAUAUCAGGAGGAACACCGGUGGCGAAGGCGGGUCUCUGGGCCGAUACUGACGCUGAGGAGCGAAAGCGUGGGGAGCGAACAGG
rnacentral:rRNA from 1 species